rnacentral:rRNA from 1 species
GAUGAACGCUGGCGGCGUGCCUAAUACAUGUCAGUCGAGCGAACAGAUGAGGAGCUUGCUCCUCUGACGUUAGCGGCGGACGGGUGAGUAACACGUGGAUAACCUACCUAUAAGACUGGGAUAACUUCGGGAAACCGGAGCUAAUACCGGAUAAUAUAUUGAACCGCAUGGUUCAAUAGUGAAAGACGGUUUUGCUGUCACUUAUAGAUGGAUCCGCGCCGCAUUAGCUAGUUGGUAAGGUAACGGCUUACCAAGGCAACGAUGCGUAGCCGACCUGAGAGGGUGAUCGGCCACACUGGAACUGAGACACGGUCCAGACUCCUACGGGAGGCAGCAGUAGGGAAUCUUCCGCAAUGGGCGAAAGCCUGACGGAGCAACGCCGCGUGAGUGAUGAAGGUCUUCGGAUCGUAAAACUCUGUUAUUAGGGAAGAACAAAUGUGUAAGUAACUAUGCACGUCUUGACGGUACCUAAUCAGAAAGCCACGGCUAACUACGUG